UACGUAGGGGGCAAGCGUUGUCCGGAUUUAUUGGGCGUAAAGAGCUCGUAGGCGGUUUGGUAAGUCAGGUGUGAAAUCUCCACGCUCAACGUGGAGGGGCCACCUGAUACUGCCAUGACUGGAGUCCGGUAGAGGAGUGUGGAAUUCCCGGUGUAGCGGUGAAAUGCGCAGAUAUCGGGAGGAACACCGAUGGCGAAGGCAGUUCUCUGGGCCGUAACUGACGCUGAGGAGCGAAAGCGUGGGGAGCGAACAGG
rnacentral:rRNA from 1 species